rnacentral:lncRNA from 1 species
UGAAGUUCCAGGUGGUGACCCAAGAACAGGGUAGCUGAGACUGGAGUUAAGAGUGGCACAGAGGAGCAGACACUGCAUGGGACACAGGACACUGUCCUUCUCCAGGUGACCUGGACAGUGGACAGUGGAUAACCUGCAAACAUGCAGUAUGCUGAUAGGACAAAGCAUUCCCUGAACUGGACCACAGGAGAUGUGGACUGUGGCUCCAGCCCCCACAGCUGUAUUUUGUAAAACCUCAGGGAAUUUGAGGGAUGUUAUGUUUGGAGAAACUGGUAGGACUGUUGUUGAAAAAUCAGUGCAAAUCAGAUGCCUACAAGAAAGGACUUUGGAAAAGCCAGCGGUACACAGUCACAGGCAACAGGUAUUCUGGGGAGGGGCUGUGUUGGGAUGACGCUUGGGGGACUUCAGACUGACUUUCCAGUUCCUCGUUGCGAUCCGAGAA